rnacentral:rRNA from 1 species
CCGGCACGGGUGAGUAACACGUAUCCAACCUGCCGUCUACUCUUGGACAGCCUUCUGAAAGGAAGAUUAAUACAAGAUGGCAUCAUGAGUCCGCAUGUUCACAUGAUUAAAGGUAUUCCGGUAGACGAUGGGGAUGCGUUCCAUUAGAUAGUAGGCGGGGUAACGGCCCACCUAGUCUUCGAUGAUAGGGGUUCUGAGAGGAAGGUCCCCCACAUUGGAACUGAGACACGGUCCAA